GGGAGAGGGAGAGAGAUAGAAAUAUCAGUGAGAGGUGAUAACAUAAAAAUCAUGCUCAAUAGGAUUACGCUGAGGCCC